rnacentral:rRNA from 1 species
CGAACGCUCACCUUCGGGUGGGAGUGGCAGACGGGUGAGUAACACGUGGGAACGUACCCUUUGGUUCGGGACAACUCUGGGAAACUGGAGCUAAUACCGGAUACGCCCUUUUGGGGAAAGGUUUACUGCCGAAGGAUCGGCCCGCGUCUGAUUAGCUAGUUGGUGGGGUAACGGCCUACCAAGGCGACGAUCAGUAGCUGGUCUGAGAGGAUGAUCAGCCACACUGGGACUGAGACACGGCCCAGACUCCUACGGGAGGCAGCAGUGGGGAAUAUUGGACAAUGGGCGCAAGCCUGAUCCAGCCAUGCCGCGUGAGUGAUGAAGGCCUUAGGGUUGUAAAGCUCUUUUAUCCGGGACGAUAAUGACGGUACCGGAGGAAUAAGCCCCGGCUAACUUCGUGCCAGCAGCCGCGGUAAUACGAAGGGGGCUAGCGUUGCUCGGAAUCACUGGGCGUAAAGGGCGCGUAGGCGGCGUUUUAAGUCGGGGGUGAAAGCCUGUGGCUCAACCACAGAAUGGCCUUCGAUACUGGGACGCUUGAGUCUGGUAGAGGUUGGUGGAACUGCGAGUGUAG